rnacentral:rRNA from 2 species
AAACGACUCUCGGCAACGGAUAUCUCGGCUCUCGCAUCGAUGAAGAACGUAGCGAAAUGCGAUACUUGGUGUGAAUUGCAGAAUCCCGUGAACCAUCGAGUCUUUGAACGCAAGUUGCGCCCGAAGCCAUUAGGCUGAGGGCACGCCUGCCUGGGCGUCACAU